AGCUUGCUCUUGAUGACGAGUGGCGCACGGGUGAGUAACGCGUAUGCAAUCUACUUAUAACUGAGGAAUAGCCCAGAGAAAUUUGGAUUAAUACUUCAUAAUAUUAUUAUUUGGCAUCAUUUAAUAAUUAAAACUCCGGUGGUUAUAGAUGAGCAUGCGUUCUAUUAGCUAGUUGGUGAGGUAAGAGCUCACCAAGGCUACGAUAGAUAGGGGGCCUGAAAGGGUGAUCCCCCACACUGGUACUGAGACACGGACCAGACUCCUACGGGAGGCAGCAGUGAGGAAUAUUGCACAAUGGAGGAAACUCUGAUGCAGCCGUGCCGCGUGCAGGAUGAAGGCCCUAUGGGUUGUAAACUGCUUUUUUACAA
rnacentral:rRNA from 1 species